rnacentral:misc_RNA from 1 species
ACGACCCGGGAACAUGUUUAACAAUUGGGGGAGUGGCUCGGUGGGUGCUUUGGCAUCCUUUGGGCACCUCUCUCCUUCCCCAGCAUCGUUCUUACGUGCGAGCUGGGUGAAUAACGAACCCCGGUGCGGAAAGCACCAAGGAAUACUUAAAUGCUGGCCAGCCUCCCGUGCCCCGUUCGCGGUGUACGUGGGAGGAUUUGUGCUUAUUUUGAAACAAAAAUGACUCUCGGCAACGGAUAUCUCGGCUCUCGCAUCGAUGAAGAACGUAGCGAAAUGCGAUACUUGGUGUGAAUUGCAGAAUCCCGUGAACCAUCGAGUCUUUGAACGCAAGUUGCGCCCGAAGCCAAUAGGCCGAGGGCACGUCUGCCUGGGCGUCACGCAUCGCGUCUCCCCUGCACACUACGCCCAAACUAAGGGAAGCUGUGAUGCGCGGGAUGGAUAUUGGCCCCCCGUGAGCCAUGGGCUGCGGUUGGCCUAAAUGUGAGUCCACGUCGACGGACGUCACGGCAAGUGGUGGUUGAAACUCAACUCUCGUAAUGUCGUGACUUCUUCCCGUCGCACGUUUGUACUCCUUGACCCUUUUUG